rnacentral:tRNA from 1 species
CGCUCGGCUAAGUGGCUACGCACUCGGACUCAAAAUCCGGUGGUAGUGAUACCGUGUCGGUUCGACUCCGACCGGCGGCAACCA